rnacentral:rRNA from 1 species
UACGUAGGAGGCAAGCGUUGUCCGGAAUUACUGGGUGUAAAGCGCGUGUAGGCGGCAGGCCAAGUCUGUGGUGAAAUCGCUCGGCUCAACUGGGCGGGGUCCAUGGAAACUGGUCAGCUGGAGGACGGUAGAGGUGAGUGGAAUUCCCGGUGUAGUGGUGAAAUGCGUAGAGAUCGGGAGGAACGCCCGUGGCGAAGGCGGCUCACUGGGCCGGUCCUGACGCUGAGACGCGAAGGCGUGGGGAGCGAACGGG